CUACGGGGUGCAGCAGUGAGGAAUUUUGCGCAAUGGGGGAAACCCUGACGCAGCAACGCCGCGUGAGCGAAGAAGGCCCUCGGGUCGUAAAGCUCUGUCAAGUGGGAAAAAGGUUCUUCGAUUAACACCCGGAGAAUUUGAUGGUACCACUGGAGGAAGCACCGGCUAACUCCGUGCCAGCAGCCGCGGUAAUACGGAGGGUGCAAGCGUUGUUCGGAAUUACUGGGCGUAAAGGGCGUGCAGGCGGUUUGGCAAGUCAGAUGUGAAAGCCCUGGGCUUAACCCGGGAAGUGCAUUUGAAACUGCCUUUCUUGAGUAUGGGAGAGGAGAGUGGAAUUCCCAGUGUAGAGGUGAAAUUCGUAGAUAUUGGGAGGAACACCCGUGGCGAAGGCGACUCUCUGGACCAAUACUGACGCUGAGACGCGAAAGCGUGGGGAGCAAACAGGAUUAGAUACCCGAGUAGUC
rnacentral:rRNA from 1 species